AGAGCGAACGCUGGCGGCAGGCCUAAUACAUGCAAGUCGAGCGCACCUUCGGGUGAGCGGCGGACGGGUGAGUAACGCGUGGGAACGUGCCCUUUGGUACGGGACAACCCAGGGAAACUUGGGCUAAUACCGUAUGUGCCCUUCGGGGGAAAGAUUUAUCGCCAUUGGAGCGGCCCGCGUUGGAUUAGCUAGUUGGUGGGGUAACUGCCUACCAAGGCUACGAUCCAUAGCUGGUCUGAGAGGAUGAUCAGCCACACUGGGACUGAGACACGGCCCAGACUCCUACGGGAGGCAGCAGUAGGGAAUCUUGCGCAAUGGGCGAAAGCCUGACGCAGCCAUGCCGCGUGAAUGAUGAAGGUCUUAGGAUUGUAAAAUUCUUUCACCGGGGAAGAUAAUGACGGUACCCGGAGAAGAAGCCCCGGCUAACUUCGUGCCAGCAGCCGC
rnacentral:rRNA from 1 species